rnacentral:rRNA from 1 species
GACGAACGCUGGCGGCGUGCUUAACACAUGCAAGUCGAACGGAAAGGUCCUGCUUUUGUGGGGUGCUCGAGUGGCGAACGGGUGAGUAACACGUGAGUAACCUGCCCUUGACUUUGGGAUAACUCCAGGAAACUGGGGCUCAUACCGGAUAGGAGCUCCUGCUGCAUGGUUGGGGUUGGAAAGUUUCGGCGGUUGGGGAUGGACUCGCGGCGUAUCAGCUUGUUGGUGGGGUAGUGGCUUACCAAGGCUUUGACGGGUAGCCGGCCUGAGAGGGUGACCGGCCACAUUGGGACUGAGAUACGGCCCAGACUCCUACGGGAGGCAGCAGUGGGGAAUAUUGCACAAUGGGCGGAAGCCUGAUGCAGCAACGCCGCGUGCGGGAUGACGGCCUUCGGGUUGUAAACCGCUUUCGCCUGUGACGAAGCGUGAGUGACGGUAAUGGGUAAAGAAGCACCGGCUAACUACGUG